GGCGGCGGGGUGGCUGGGCCGGCGGCGGCGGCGGUACGAGGCGCGCGCUCGGGGUCCCGGUCGCGAGGAGGAGGAGGAUGUGGCGCGCGGAGGGGAAAUGGCUGCCGAAAACAAGCCGGAAGAGCGUUUCCCAAAGUGUAUUCUGCGGAACUAGCACCUACUGUGUUCUCAACACCGUGCCACCUAUAGAAGAUGAUCAUGGGAACAGCAAUAGUAGUCAUGUAAAAAUCUUUUUACCGAAAAAGCUGCUUGAAUGUCUGCCGAAAUGUUCAAGUUUACCAAAAGAGAGGCACCGCUGGAACACUAAUGAGUAUCACAGAGUUAAUUACACCAGACCUGCACUAAAGGGAAUAAUAGAAAGAUUGGUCUUUGGCAGAAGAGAAAUGAUCCUGCAUGGCAGCUUUAAGAUGCGUGGAAAAGUGAAGACCAAAGAAAGGAGAAAUAAGAUGAGAUCAUGAUGCAGCCGUCCUUUUGGAUUUCUUUUUAAUAAUGUGUGACCCUUCACCUUUGAUCCCCUGACCUGCAUUACCUUGCAAAGAACAGAAACAAAACCAAGGAGACAGUAUCCUGUGAUGUAGGCUGUUACCUCAAGGUGAGUUUAUUUGUAGCACUAACUUGUAACGAAUUGUUUAAAGAACUGAAACUUCUUUUUAGGUAUAGCUUAUUUGUCAGAUUUUGUUCAUUUCAGUGUAAACUUCAGUUAUUUAUUACACACUGAGGGAAAUCAACUAAAAUCAGGAAAACCAAUGUCCAAUUGAACUUGAGUUUUAUUUUGCAUAGAGAAGUAACCAAUAUUUCUGAUCAAACCAUUAAAGCUGUUUCAGUUCCUUUUAAAUAAAAGCAAAGGCUAAAUUUUUUACAUACCACAAAGCAAAAUAAAACGAAAAAACCUUUGGUCAUGAUGCAUUUUUUAUUCAACUGAUUGCUGAAUUAUUUUGAUUAUAUAAUCUUACACUCUUAUGAAAGUAUAACAAGUAUGAAUUUUCUGAGGUGAAGAAAUAAAUGUAGAAAGCAGUUAAUGAGGCAGAACUCACAAAUCUGUAUUUAUAGUUUCAUGGCAAAUAAAUCAUAAGCAGAGGAUACAGAUGUAAAGAAAAAUUCUUGAUUGCAUUCAAGAAAUGCAAGGUCGAACUAACUUUUUACUGAAAUGGAAUUGUAUCGCUGCUCAGAGGGAUGUGGGGAGUAAAGUAAGUGGGAUGUGCUUAGAACAGCAAGCUAGGCCGCAGUGCGCACUCGUCAGUGUCUGCUGCUUGUCUUACGAGGAUUCUAGCACAGAAGAUUAAAUCAUGUUUUAAUCAUGCUUAAUAAAUGGUACUGUAGUUUUAUUAUGGUUAAUGUCCACUUGUAAUUCAAUGAAGAGUGGCUUUUUAAAGCAAAGGAGAAAUCAGCAUGUUUUUCUUGGCGCUCUUAUAUUGUGUGUGUGUAGAAGAUGCUGGGAUGGGUUAUCCAUACGACAACCCCUGUGACCAGAGAUGCAGGAGCACAUGCAUCACUCUUAGUUUUAUUUUAUUUGUUUUAUAUGUUAUUUUCAUAAAUCUGAAGGUUUGAUCAGCUUACUGUUUUUAGUAUUUUCUGCUGCUGCAUGUGUGUACCUUUAAGUUUUGUAGAAUUAAAUUGAAAAUUUUGACCAGCAAAUGCUUAAAGCCACUGUCAAAAUUACAUAGUUAGCACUUCAUUGAUUUGAAGGCUAGUUUUCAUUCAACAUUCCUGCAGUUUGUGUGUGACCUGAUUUUAAAGAGCAGUUCCAUGAGUUAGUGCCCUCUGGUGGCACACAGAGGACGUCAGGCAGAGAGGGACUCUGACCCAGGAGCCUUCCGGAGGCUCUGCUGAAGAGAAGCCAGUUUAUGACUGGCCCUGUAAUUUCAUAUUUUUUCAUGUGUUCAGUGCUCGUCAGUUUCCUACUCCAUUAAGCCAUGGCCCUGGCAUUGACUCAGUACCAGCUUUAUAGCAAGUCUUCAGCAGCUUAGGUUGUGAGGGAAUUUCCAGGUGGACUUGAUAUAAGAAGGGAUUACCAAUGUUGAGAUUUCCCAUGAGGAACCAGGACAUCCAUUUUUGGAUGCAUCUCUUAGCUCCUUUUGAAGAGCAGACCAUGUCACUUCCUGGGUUAAGGAAGGAAGGCUCCCUGAUGGCCUUUGAGUGACUGACUGGCACAGCUUGGGGUGGGCCUUCAGUGGGUUAGUCUUUGAUAGGCCUUUGUUUCCCAUUUUGGUCUUCCCUGGAGGGCAGCCCACCUUGCCCACUUAGGCUCUUGGACAGUUUUCUUUUUUUUUUUUUGUUGAGGUGAAGUCUCACUCUAUUGCCCAGGCUGGAGGGAGUGCAGUGGUAUGAUCACAGCUUAUUGCAGCCUUGACCUCCUGAGCUCAAGUGAUCCUCCUGCCUUAGCUUCCUGAGUAGCUAGGACCACAGGUGGGGGCCACCAUGCCCAGCUGAUUUCUUAAUUUUUCUGUGGAGUCGAGGUCUUGCUAUUUUGCCCAGGCUGGUCUUGGAACUCUUGGCCUCAAGCAGUUUUCCUGCUUUCCUCCCCAAAUGCUAGGAUUAUAGGUGAUGAGCCACCCUGCCCAGCCUGCUUGGCCAGAUUCUGUACUCUUUAGGCAGACCAAAAACUGAAUCCUGUCAUCACUCUGAAAAGUUGUGGGACCUCAAGAAAGUCACUCUUUCAUGAGUUUCUUUAGCUGUGAAAUAGUCACAGAUUCUAAGCUGUCUUUUGAACCUGUGUCAAGAGAGAGUUGUGAGGAUGAUGUGAGAUGAUGUGUCUGAGAGUCCUGACACAUUGACCUAUGCAGACUGCUGCUAAAGACAUUUCUCUUUCCUUCCUCAAAGGCAAGCCUCCCCACCUUGAUUAGAAGGUCAUUAAAAAGGAACUUCAUUUGACAAUAAUCCCAUAUUUAUAAUGAAGUUGCUAAGAUAGUUUGGAGUGCCCAUAGAUCCCUUACCUGGUUUCUUGUGCAAUCCCCACUUUUAUACUGUUGAGUUUCCCUGAUGAGUUUUCAUAUAUAUAAUCUCUGUGAACUUGGAUCAAAUUUGGCUUAAAUGCCUAUUUACCACUUUGCUAAGACAGAAAUGUUUGCGCUCAGUCCCUGAAUUCCAUUGUAGAUGUGUUGGCAUUUGCUUCCAAACCAUCCUUCUGGUUUUAGCUUGCCCUGUGUCUGUGGUCAUUUGACAUUAGAAUAGCCUUCUGUGAUCUUCCGGGAUCUUAACACCUAAAUAUUUUCCCUGCUUGUACAGCUAAUGAGUUGUGCAGCCUAAGGAAACAUGGGGUAGUCAGUUUUCAUCAGUAUUUCAACUAGGCGUUUUUGCCAUCUCAUAGCUACUUCUCAAGCAAUUACAAUUUAAGUCAAGGUAGUAGCACCUGCAUCUUCAAAAAACAAAACAAAAAGUUUUUUAUCUUCAGAAAUAAGGAAAGAAGCUUAUUGGACUUCCCAAUAGAAAGUCCACCAGCCAAUUUUAAUACAUAAAUAAUCUAUGAUUAGCAUUAGUAUAUGAAAAAAAUAGUAGCAGCUCAGAUUUUAUGUACUUCUGCAGUUUAAGAAAGUGAUGCCACAGACAACAUCUCAUUUGGUUUCUUAGCAACCCUGAAAGACCAGCAAGGAGAGCUUCGUCCCUCCCUUUUCAUGAACCUGAAUGUUGUAAGGGAGGCCAAGGAGUGGCCUGGUGAGACUGCACAGCCAGAGUUAGAGCCCAGGUCCACGUGAGUCAUUGUACAGACACAUCCUGAGCACCAGCCCACCCACUUCUGCCAUCAGGAGGCUUUGAAACUGCUGUGGUUCCCCUCUUAAAAUGGCUAACCUCUACUUCAGCAACCUUAUUUAUGCAUUCAUAUACAUAAUCAUUCUUUAAAGUCUAGUAGACAAUUUUCACAUUUUGUUUCAGCCCAGAUCUUUACUAAAUUUUGUGAGAUCAGCAUUGUUGGGCUUGAAUUAACCAAACUUCGCCAUACUGUGCCUUCAGAAAUCCCAGAUUGGGCGGGUUGUGAGUUCAUCUCAUCCUCUUCCUGACAUUGACACUACCAGCACCAUCAGCAGGCUCUGGGAUAACUGCGGCCCCCUCUGAGAGGCUACAUCUUGUUUGCGAUCUGUGGGUUACAUAUUGUGCUAGAGAUAAACCUUGACAGUAGAGACGUGUGACAUAUUUUUUACAAGAGUCACUGAGAUACUUGAAUGAGAAGAUGAUGUAGUUUGAAAAAGUGAUAAAUGGGCCAGGUUCUUGAGAAACUAGCAGAAUGUCUUAUUGAAACCUUGGGAUCCAAUCUGAAAACAGAAAUGAGUCUUCCAAGCAAAUUUUUUUCUUUUCUUUUUUUUUUUUUUUUUGCAAAUGUGGUGGGGGUAGAUGCUUUUAUAUAAAUUCUAUACCUGUUUCUGUGGUAUAAAAAUCAAAUUUUGUCCUCUUUUGCCUCGGUUGGUUGGUUUCAUUUUCAACUAGGUCUCCGUUUCUAACAGCAUCUCAGGUAACUUUUCUGAAAAAUGUGGGUUCAGAGGAGCUCAUGUGCUGGUGGCUGUAGUGGCAGCUAGUUCUAGACUAUGAGAUCUCAGUGACCACUUUGGUGGGUGUUUUGUUUUAAAUCAACAAUAGAGGUGAAUCUGUACUACAAAGUAAAAUGUAUGAGUAGAUAGGUUUUCAUGUUUUGAAGUUUUUUAUCUUCAGAAAUAAAGAAACAGCCUCAUUAAAGAACUGUUAAAAAAAAAAAGAGCUGUGGCCGGGCGCGGUGGCUCACGCCUGUAAUCCCAGCACUUUUGGGAGGCCGAGGCGGGCGGAUCACGAGGUCAGGAGUUCGAGACCAGCCUGGCCAACAUGGUGAAGCCCUCAUCUCUACUAAAAAUGCAAAAAAUUAGCCGGGCAUGGUGGCGUGCCUGUAAUCCCAGCUACUCAGGAGGCUGAGGCAGGAGGUGGAGGUUGCAGUCAGCCGAGAUCGCGUCAUUGCACUCCAGCCUGGGCGACAGAGCAAGACUCCAUCUCGAGGAAAAAAAGAAAAGAAGAAAAAAAAAGCUGUUUGUCUGUUCUAGCCUGGCACCUAUGAGUUCUGGAGCAGCACCCAAAGCCAGUUCCUGCUGGCUUUCCUAGGAGCCUCUUUGGCGUGGGUGGGCGAGCUGCUCCCUUGCAGCAGUUUCAGAUGUCACUUGAGAAAAAUAUUUGUUGUUGUUUGGUUGCCCUCUUCAGUUGUGAUGCUUUUAGGAAGUUAGGAAACAGAUGAGACAGUCUGGCUGGAAUAAGAGGGUGGGUAACCACUGAUCUGAGAUCAUCCCUGUUGAUUAGGUUUGCAGAAUUCUAAAUGGAGAUUGUAGCUUCACAUGCGCACUGAGGGGGUUGUGCGUUUUCAUAGGCUUAUGUUCCAUCGGGCUUCUGCAUGAUCUUGGAAGAGAGAGACUAGGUGUGGUUCUUGGCUCUGUUGGCUGGUGGGUUUAGCUGUGGAUCACUUAAGAGACCCAUAAUCCUUGCUUUUGUACCGUUCUGUAUUCCGUUUGUCAGGCUGCGAGGGAAGGGGGUUUGUGCUAAUUUGUAUCUUACUGACCCUGACUGGAAAAGAGAUUAAGAUUUUGGUUGUAUAAUUAACAUAAAUGACCAAAAAUAUCAAGCCCACUCCUCACACAGGUGACCCAGGCAUCCAAAUAUUUACUCCAAUGAUUAGUGUCUUUCAGCUGUAGAUGGGCACUUCUUUCCUUUCCUUUCUCCUCUCUCUUUUCUUUACCCACCAGAUAGAUUCACACUGAAAGAUUAAAACAGGCUGUGGGAUUUAAAUGCUGAAAAUGAAGAUUGAUGCUUUCAGGUGCCUUGUGGCAAGCACAAUUAAGUGAACGGAGAACUGGGGCAAUUGUUUAUUUGAAGGUUGGUGUGACAUAUGAAUGAACUUAUUUUUUCAGUACCCACCCAUCUACCCGGAACUGAAAUAGGCAUUUGGAGUAGGUUUUGCAUUUUAGGUUCAAUUUUAAGAACCAGCCAUUCACUGUGAAAGCGAAGUUGCUGGGAAGUUUGUUUUAAGGAUGAUGCCACCCUCUAUUUCUGUGAACCCAGUAAAAAUAGCAUGGAAUAAAAUUUAAUUAUGCUAUACUGAAUAUUUCAUGUGGAAUUAAGGGGCAAAAGCUGCCUUUAAAAAGCAUUAGGUUUGGAAAGAAUAAAGGCUUUGUAGGUUCUUUGGAAGAUACUAUAAUUAAAAGAUUUGCUCAAAUGUAUUUUUCCCUUUUUGAAGAAUUUAAAGAAAUCCAUCCCUCCCUUCCUAAAUUGAUUACCUCUCAAGCGUCAGCCCUUCUUGGCAGUAAAUACGGUGAAGCUGCCGCUGUGCUGAUUUGACGGCUUCUUUCUGUUAAAUGUAAAAUAGUUUUUUAAUCUUCUGAUUUAGAUGUUUAAUAGAAAGUAAACGUUUGACUUGCUUUGGUUUCUGCUGAACCUGUAUUUAAAUCCACACAAACAGUUUGAAUAAAGUGAAAACAUCACUGGACUAGCUAUUUUAAACAUUUCAGGAUAUAAGAAUGCUAAAUGGGGGUUCCUUUUAAAAAUAGAAAUGGCGGCUUGCAUUUACAUAAUUACUGCUAACUAGCACAACAUUUUAAAUGGUGACAAACUCAGGGUAGAAAAAGUAUCUGUUUUAAAAGCCUGGUAAAAGGAAGCAGAAAAUGCUCUGUGAGCAGCUGCUUCAGAUGGAGGGUCUUUGCAAAGCCGGGAGACCAAGACUUUUCAGUAGGGAGGGCGAGGUCAAGGGAGGAGGCAAGAGGUAGCUCAGGCAAACUACUUACAGGCCCUGAGCCUGUGUGUGGGCCUGAACUCACCCACCUUUCAUUUUGGAGCAUGAUUGUCUAAGUAUUAACACUUAAAUCUGCCUUGGUGUCUGUCCGGACAGGGUGCAGUGUUCUCUGUCCGCUGUUAAAAGGUGUCAGGUGAGGGUUGAAGUUCAAAGUUGGUGAAAGAGCAUGGAAGAAUAUUUAUGAACAUGAAGGCUGAGAUUCACUUAACACAAACUCAUCAGUAGUUCAAGCCAGAAUCUCAGGCCUGUCCUUGAUUCUGCCCUUUUUUCCCCAUCCCAGACACCCAUCUUUCUCCUUCCAAAAUACAUCCAUCUUUGCACAUCUCUGCUAGUACCACCCUAGUCCAAGCCACCUUCUUUUCUUUGCCUGGAGAUCUGUCACAUUUUCCUGUGUGGACUUCAUGUCUCCAGUUUGCUCCCCUUGGAAUAGAUUCCCCAUGCACUAGCCAGGGCAAUCUAUGAAGAAUGUAAAUAGGAUUCGUUCACUAGCUUAAACCCUACAGUGACUUUCUAUCCAUUUGGAGUCCGGUCAGCAUGAAUAAUCUGGCCUCUGCCUCUCCAUUUCCUACCAGGUGCCUCUUCCCUCUAAGCACCCUUCCCAUACGGGGAAUCCAUCAAACAUGAUUCUUUUUUGCAUUCGCUGUUUUCUCUACCUAAAAUUAUUUCCUCUCCUCCCCAUCUUUGUUUGCUGGCUCCUUUGUGUCAUUCAGGGCUCACCUCAAAUGUUAUAUCCUCAGAGAGACCCUCCCCCGAUAGCCUGAUGACAGGUGAUAGUCCCCUGUCACUCUGUCAUGUGGCAGUGUGGUUUUUUUCGUAGCAUUUAUUACUGUCUGAAAUUGUCUCUUCUUUUUCUUUUUGUCCUCAGCUCUUCCCCAUCCUAUUAGCUCUUUUAGGGCAGGGGGCCCUGUCUAUCUCCUUUUCAGCUAUGUUCUGAGUAGUUAGAUGUACCUGCAAGUGCCUAGGUAUCCAUUGAUUAAAUCAGUGCAGGAGCGGAACCCUGCAGAUCACUAAUGCCCAAGAAGAGCUCCCACUUGGUGGAACUAGCUGCCUAGAAGCUGCUCCUCAAAUUCUUGCCCACAUUUUUUUUGAACCGUUUGGGAAAAAAACUGCUCUAAACUUUGCCUUUUAGGGUUGAAAAUUGAAAUUUGGGGAUUCACAGAAUGCUUGUACUUAAACAGAAUCAGCCUGUGUCCCUAGAAGGACAUGAAAUUCCCCUAGUUCACCCCAAAUGAGAUGAAAAUAUAAUUUCCUAGCAUUCUUGGUCCAUAGUAGGAGUUCACCAGUGGCGAUCUGCCUCUGUGUCCUUCCUGGGGCAGUGGGAUGGCACUGCUUGCCUUUGCUGAAGACUGAAUUUGAAUUCCCUCAGAUCCAGCCUUCGGAGCCAGAUAGCAUUUUCUGUGAUUUCUCCUGUGGCGUGUCUGGCCGGGAUGCUUUCUGUGUUGAAUGUUCAUUUUGGGGUUAGGUAGCAAAUCUGUUAAGAUAGAGAUAUUUGCGGAAAUCUAAACUUUGGUCAGCCACUUUUCGUUUCAUUAGUUUUCCACCUGGCAACAUCCAAGCGUUCAGGAGGAAAACAUGGUAAUGGCUACUGAUACCUAGGCAGUUGUGAUUCCUUCCCUAAAGAAGCUGAUGCAGAGGGUUCAAUUAACUACUUCUGAGGAACCCUUUGCAUCAGCUUCCUUAGGGAAGAAAAGAAUCACGUUUCCAACUCACUGAGUCUCAAAUGUAUUAUGCCACUCCAAGCUGUUUGUUGAAGUAUUUACUUUGGUCUUGAAUAUACUCGUUGGGGACUGGAUUGUAGAACUCAGGAGACCCAUCUGCUUGGCAGAAGCUCCCCUGUGCAACUUUUCAUUCUUGUUGCUGUCUUUAUCAGGGCAUUAUUACAGUGAUUGGGUUGUGCAAGGAGAAACAGUAACUUCCCAGUUAAUUUAUAGUGAAAUGGACCUUUUUAGAACUGAGACCUAGAGAUAAAGCCAUGGAGCUGGAGGAUUUCAGUUGCUUUUGAGUGAGCAUCAAUUCAUUAGACUAGUUUUAAGAGAACCUCUCCCUUCUCAUGUUUGACCAGAGCUGAAGAUGCCUCGACUCUGCCUGGUUCCCCACUUGCCUGAGUAGAGAACAGGUUCAGGUAGGAGGGAACAAACAGGUUGAGCACAGGCAGAGUCAGGAAAGGGCCUGGCCUGUUCAGGAUCAAGAUGUGUGAAAUGAAGGUGGGAAGAUGGGGGUGGAAAAUGGGUUUUGACCAACAUAUGGAUGGUCUUGUGUGCAAGAAGCAUGUAAGCACAGCAGAUUGUGUUCCCAUGGUGACAAGCUGCUGAGCCACUGUGUGUUUAGGGUCAGUGUGGGGCGGGGAGUAGUGUUGGAAGUCCAUGUCAGUCAUUGGUUUCCUAGUUAGUGCAAACUCAAUAAGCCUGUAUUUACUGGAAGCCAUUUUUCUCAUAUAUACACCCCCAGAUUGUAUAUCGCUUUUCUGAUUUGACUUUUUGGCUGAUUGCUUUUGAAGUUAAUGUGGUUUAGUCAACUGAAUGUUCUAAACAUCUCCCUUUACCUACCUGGUCGGUACUCCUGGUGAGUUUUUGAAAGGCAGUGUCUUUCCCACAGAGAUUAAUUAGAAGUUAGUGUGUGCAGUACACUUGACCCUAUGUUUGACACACAUUCAGUAUAUGGUGGUGAUUAUUUGUUUGAAAAUGAAACAGAGCUCUCUGAUGGAACCUGAAGAAGUGGGAUUGGCACUUCUAGAUGGAUAUAUGGGUUGUGUUUAACUGCUUUGAAUGUUAGUAAGGGAAAAGUAUCCACUUACUAUUGUUCAUUUCUUUUUUCCCAGCCUUAAGAGCCAAAAUGAUUUUCUGCCCACAAACGUCUUGGUUUUCUUUUUCUAGCCUGUCUUUUCAUGGCUAAGAUAUUUGCAGAAAUUUCUGGCUAGCCACCAGUCCAUAACUUUUUCUCUUCUUUGCAGACACUGUGUUUAGUGGUAUCUGAAAAACCCUACGAAUCCAAAGUUGUUUACCCUACGAAAGUUGAGAUUCCAGUUCAUUUGCUAACCUGCAGUUUCUUAUUUCUUGUCUUGGUACUUCAGUUGGCUCAUUAAAUAUUUCUUAAAAUUGGUUGAGGAGCUUAAAUAUUUGUUAAAAUUGUAAUGUGUCCUGAUUUAGAGGAAACUAAUUAUUAUGUACAUCUUACUAGAUCCAUCUGUUGCCCAUUCCUCAGAUACAGUGAUAGAAGGAGAGAGAAAUUCUGGGCCGGGCACGGUGGCUCAAACCUGUAAUCUCAGCACUCUGGGAGGCCGAGGCAGGCAGAUCACGAGGUCAGGAGAUCGAGACCAUCCUGGCUAACACGGUGAAACCCCGUCUCUACUAAAAAUAGAAAAAAUUAGCUGGGCAUGGUGGCGGGUGCCUGUAGUCCCAGCUACUCGGGAGGCUGAGGCAGGAGAAUGGUGUGAACCCAGGAGGCGGAGCUUGCAGUGAGCUGAGAUCGCACCACUAUACUCCAGCCUGGGUGACAGAGCAAGAGCCCAUCUCCAAAAAUAAACAAACAAACAAAAGGAGAUAGAAAUUCUGUCUCCAGGCAGAUAAGUUAUAGUUCAUAGAGUGUGAGAGAAUGGGCUCAUAAUGGAACAGUUAUCCUGGGUGGAGUUGGUGCUUCGUGAUGGUACAGAUGCUUUCCAGGGAUAUGCUCAGGAAAGAUACUGGAAAGAGAUUUUCCUAAGUCUCAUCUCAAAUGAGCUUUGCUUUGCUUCAACUGGCCUAACUCAGCAGGCCCAGCUAGCCUGAUACCAAGAAGGACCUCCAGCCUCUUGUUGCCUAGCCGACCUCCAAACAGGUAGCUGGCCAACAUGGGGCCCCCUGGUUUGUUUUAUUUUGUUUGAUUUUUUUUUUCUUUAAAUGGAAUAGAUGAUCUAGACGUAGCACCAAGGUGCCCCUGUCUUCCAUCACCUUCAUGUACCUGAGUACCCACAAGCUCGCCUGUGGAUCUGUAGGAAAACCAGGUAAGUCUCUAGGAUCUGUGAGGUCAUCGGUACCGUGGAUGCUUCUUCAGGGUGGGGAGGGUUUGCUGCCAUUGAUAGCCCUGCACCAUCAUGGAAGCGUGCCCAGUCUGUUUCCCCAUCUUUGAUGCACUGUGGAUGAUAAAUAAUCAUCACUGCUGUGUGAUGGCUGAGAGGGAUUCCAGCCAGUGUGUGCUAGGUUAUAGUGUUUUCCUGAUGGAUGGAGCCUAUUCUGGGAAGCAGCUUAUUGUCUCACGUGAACAGGCUUUCUAAAAUAAAUGACUGCUUUCUUAAUAUUUUGAAUCCUUUUCUUCAGCACAUGUUUUGUUGCCGUGGUUUGAAAGCUUGCCAAAUAUAUGCCUUUGCACAACUCCCUGUAGGGCUGGGUAUACAAUCAGACCAAACAGUGUGAUUUAAGUUUGAGCAUAAUUGGGAAUUCAGCAAUCACUUGCCUUGCAUUUGAUGGAAUGGCAGUGGAGUGCUUGAGAGUUACUUCGCUGUUAAAAAAUUAUAUGUGUAUAACGCGCACGCGCGCGCGCACACACACACACACACACACACACACACACACACACACAGAGUUUCACUAUCUCAUAAUAAAGUUGUACCUGAAACCACUGGGCAAAAAUAACACUAGCAUGAUAAAUAAUUGCUUGAUUUUUGUGAUGGAGGCAGGAAUUAACUUCAACAAAUCAUAGCAGUUGAUACUGUAGAUAUGACUGAGGACUUAAGUUAUAUAAGGUUGUGGAAUGGAAGAAAAUCACGUGGUGGCAGCAAUACAUUUUAAACACAAGCCCUUGUCAAGUCCUUCAUCGGUUGAUCUGUUUCCUUGUUUCUGUGUACUUUAGUAAUUGAGCCAUAAACUUGGUGAACUUGGUGUUGCCUCUGUGUUAUACAAGCAUCUUUGGAUUUUACAUUGCCAACACUGUGCGUGUUUGUUGCUGUUGGAUUGUCAGUUACCUAUAAUUGAGACCUUUUCGUGUGUCUCUUUGCUGGUGGGAAAAAUGCUGUCAACAGCCCCACUCCCUGCAGCUCUUUGAAAAGUCACAUGUGAAAUCCAGAGUUUGUUUACCAGGCUGAAAGAGAUCACUUUACCAGAAGCUUACAGUAAAUAUCCAGGUGAUAGAGCCUGGAGAUACUAAACAUAUGCUGCUUCAUUGCUUGGUACAUUGGUAGUCAUCAGGCCUGCCACCAGCACUGCAGACUGCACAGGACACAGAGGUGGUGUGUGGAAGGGAUAACUUUGAAACUGUGUGUAAGUUAUCAUAGCCACCAGAGUUUCUUGAUGGUGGCCUCCCGUUCCCGUGCAAUGAGACAGCCUCCUGUCAUCCCUUGUAAGAUGGUGUUAAUCUGACAAGAAAGGGAAGUAAAAACUCUGAGGUCAGAAUUCUUAAGUUUUUUUUUCUGGAAUUUUGGACACUUUCUAAUAAUUGAAAAGCACCUGUCUUUUGGAGUUUUAGACAGUCAAAUUAAUCUAACUCCAGAAUUUAGCCUUUAUUUGCAAACAACAUGAUUAUGAAAAACCCAUGGAAUCUAUAUAAAAAAAAACCCAAGCACCUAUGAGAAUAAAUGAAUUCAGCAAGACAACAAGAUACAAGAUCAAUUGUAUUUCUAUAUAUUAGCAACAAACAAUUGGAAGAGGAAACUUAAAUAUCAGUACCAUUUACAGUAGCUUCAAAAACUUCAGAUACCUUAGAAUAAAACUAAGAAUAUGUGUAAGACCUCUAUGCUGAAAACCACAAAAUAUCUGUGAGAGAAAUUAAGAGAAGAUCUAUAUAAAUGGAGGGCUAUACCAUGUAUUGAAAGACUAAAUAGUAAGAUGUCUGUUUUCCCUAAAUUGAUUUAUGAAUUCCGUGCCAUCCUACUCAAAAUCUAGAUAAACUAAUUGCAAGGUUUUUAUGGAAAUGCAAAAGAUCUAGAAAGACCAAAGCAGCUUUGAAAAAGAGCAAAGCUAGGAGAUAGCCUGAUUUCAAGACUUCCUGUAAUGCUACAGUAAUCAAGACAGUGUGGUAUUGCAAAAAGAUGGACAUAUAAAUCAAUGGAACCAAAUAGGGAAUCCAGAAACAGAUCCACACAUAGAUGCUCAAUUGGUUUUUGACAGAGGUGCAAAGGGAAUUCAAUGGAGAAAGGAUAGUCUUUUCAACAGAUUGUAAUGGAACAACUGGACAUUCAUGUGCAAAUAAAAUGAACCUCAACCCAUACCCCAUACUGUAUAUAAAAAUUAACUCAAAGUGGAUCAUAGACCUAAGUUUAAAUCUAUAAGCCUUCUGGAAGAAAACAUGGGAGAAAGUUUUCAUGACCUUGGGUUAGCAGUGAUUUAUUAGAUAUGGCACCAAUUGUGCAAUCCAUAAGAGACAAAACAUCAGACUUCCUAGAAAUUAAAAAAUCCUGUUCUUCAAAAGGUACUGUUUAGAUAAUGAAAAAACAAGCCACAGACUGGGAGGAACCUUUGUAAAACAUACGUCUAAUAAGGGAUCCAUAAUGUAUGAAGAACUUUAAAACCUUUAAAAACUUUAAAACAACCCAAUUUAAAAAUGGGCAAGAGAGUUCUCUAGACAUCUUAGGAUACACAGAUGGCAACUAAGCACAUGAAGAAUGUUCAACAGCGUUAUUCAUCAUUGAAAUGAAACUAAAAACCACAAUGAGAUGCUGGUACACAGUUACUAGGGUAUCUUCCCAAAAUAAAACCAAAAAGACCCUGGUAAUACCAAGUGCUGGUGAACAUGUAGGGAAACUGAAACUCUUGCCUGGUGCGGUGGCUCACACCUGUAAUUUACCCAGCACUUUGGGAGGCCAAGGCAGGUGGAUCACUUGAAGUCAGGAGUUCAAGACCAGCCUGGCCAACAUGGUGAAACCCCGUCUCUACUAAAAGUACAAAAAUUAGCCGGGCAUGGUGGUGGGCCCCGGUAUUCCAGCUACUUGGGAGGCUGAGGCAGGAGAAUAGUUUGAACCCAGGAGUUGGAGGUUGCAGUGAGCAGAGAUCACGCCACUGCACUUCAGCCCGAAUGACAAGGUGAGACUGUCACACACACACACACACACACACACACACACACAAAAAAAAAAAUAAAAAUAAAAACUCGUACUGGCUUUUAGGAAUGCAGAAUGCUACAGCCACUUUGGAAACAACAUUGACAUUUUCUUAUAAGUCUACACUUAAGAAUCUUACAAAUCUGCAUUUACAGCAAGACCCAGCAAUCCCACUUCUAGGUAUUUACCUAAGAGAAUAUAAAGUUAUGCACCUACAGAAAUUUGUAUGGGAACAUUUACAGCAGCAUUACUCAUGAUGUUCAAAAGCUGAAACAACCCAAAUGUCAUUCAACUGGCCAAUGAAUAAGCAACUUCAUUGGAGUACUACUCACAGUGAAAAGGAACAAAGUGACACAACAUGGACGAGUCUCGAAUGCAUUAUGAUUAGUGAGAAGAAGCCAGACUCAAAAGGCCUGAUUCUGUUUAUGUGACCUUCUGGAAAAGCCAAAAUUGUAUGGGAAGAAAACAUCAGUGGUUGCUGUGGACUGGGUUGCUGUGGGUGGGUCGGUUACAGAAGAGCACAAGGGAACUUUUUGAGGUGAUGGAAAUUUUCUGUAUGGUGUUUGUGAUUGUGGUUAUGCAGCUCUGUUUGUUUGUCAGAAUGUAUGGACCUGUGCACUUUGAACAGGUAGUUCACAAAAGAAGUUAUACACAUGGCCAAUAAGCAUGUAGAAAGGUGUUCAACGUCAGGGAAAUACAAGUUAAAACCACAGUGAGAUGCCAUCUAUUAUUAGAGUGGCUAAAAUAAAAAAGACUAUCAACAUGAAAUGUUGGUGAGAUUGUGGAACAACUGCAACUCUCAAACAUUGCUGGUUGGUGUAUGAAGUAGUCCAACCCCUUGGGAGACUUGAUUGGCAGGUUUUCUUUCCUGAAAUUAAACAUACAUGUACACCAUGAUCCAACAGUUCCACUCUUAAGUAUUUACUUUAGGAAAAUGAAAAUAUAUGUUCCCAAAAGAACUUAUAUAAGAAUGUUCAUAUAAAGCCAAAAAUAGAAACAGCCCAAAUAUCCAUCAACUGAAGAAUGAAUAAAUUAUUACAGUGGAAUACUGCUGAGUAAUAAAAAAGAAUGAACUACUGUUAACAACCAUAUGGAUGGAGCUGAAGAACAGAAGGACAUACCCUAUGAAUGCAUUUAGAUAAAAUCCAAGAACGGAUGAGACCACUCUAUGGUGAUCAAAAGUGUUUUCUUAAGAGUAGGGAGGGGAAUUAACCGGAAAGAGGCAAGGAAGGUUUUGGGUGGUGGAAGUGUAGGCUCACUCCCAUUUUGGGUAGUGAUUACGUGUUUAUACACUUCUUAAAACUCAUCCAGCAGAUGAAGAUCUAUACAUUUUAUUGUAUGUUAAUUAUACCUUAAUUAAAAAUAUAUUUAAAACCCA